CUAAUACUCCCUCCGUUCUGAAUUACUUGUCUUAGAUUUGUCUAGAUAGAUGUAUCUAGACAAAUCUAAGACAAGUAAUUCGGAACGGAGGGAGUAUAUA
rnacentral:pre_miRNA from 1 species